rnacentral:rRNA from 1 species
AACGUAGGAGACGAGCGUUAUCCGGAUUUACUGGGCGUAAAGCGCAUGUAGGCGGUUUCUUAAGUCGGAUGUGAAAGCUCCUGGCUCAACUAGGAGAGGUCAUUCGAAACUAGGAAACUAGAGGGUGGUAGAGGAGAGUGGAAUUCCCGGUGUAGUGGUGAAAUGCGUAGAUAUCGGGAGGAACACCAGUGGCGAAAGCGGCUCUCUGGGCCACACCUGACGCUGAGAUGCGAAAGCUAGGGGAGAGAAC